rnacentral:rRNA from 1 species
GAACGCGAAGAACUUACUACUCUUGACAUCCAUGGAAUCUUGUAGAGAUAUGAGAGUGCCUUCGGGAACCAUGAGACAGGUGCUGCAUGGCUGUCGUCAGCUCGUGUUGUGAAAUGUUGGGUUAAGUCCCGCAACGAGCGCAACCUUAUCCUUUGUUGCCAGCGAUUAGGUCGGGAACUCAAAGGAGACUGCCGGUGAUAAACCGGAGGAAGGUGGGGAUGACGUCAAGUCAUCAUGGCCUUACGAGUAGGGCUACACACGUGCUACAAUGGCGUAUACAGAGGGCGACGAAGCCGCGAGGUGGAGUGAAUCUCACAAAGUACGUCUAAGUCCGGAUUGGAGUCUGCAACUCGACUCCAUGAAGUCGGAAUCGCUAGUAAUCGCGAAUCAGAAUGUCGCGGUGAAUACGUUCCCGGGUCUUGUACACACC